CCGGGGGGGGGGGUGCCUAUAAUGCAGUCGAGCGAACUUUUGGGAGCUUGCUCCCAAAAGUUAGCGGCGGACGGGUGAGUAACACGUGGGCAACCUGCCUAUAAGACUGGGAUAACUUCGGGAAACCGGAGCUAAUACCGGAUAACAUAUGAGACCACAUGGUCUCAUAUUGAAAGAUGGCUUUUAGCUAUCACUUAUAGAUGGGCCCGCGGCGCAUUAGCUAGUUGGUGAGGUAAUGGCUCACCAAGGCAACGAUGCGUAGCCGACCUGAGAGGGUGAUCGGCCACACUGGGACUGAGACACGGCCCAGACUCCUACGGGAGGCAGCAGUAGGGAAUCUUCCGCAAUGGACGAAAGUCUGACGGAGCAACGCCGCGUGAGCGAAGAAGGUCUUCGGAUCGUAAAGCUCUGUUGUUAGGGAAGAACAAGUACCGUUCGAAUAGGGCGGUACCUUGACGGUACCUAACCAGAAAGCCACGGCUAACUACGUGCCAGCAGCCGCGGUAAUACGUAGGUGGCAAGCGUUAUCCGGAAUUAUUGGGCGUAAAGCGCGCGCAGGCGGUCCUUUAAGUCUGAUGUGAAAGCCCACGGCUCAACCGUGGAGGGUCAUUGGAAACUGGGGGACUUGAGUGCAGAAGAGGAGAGCGGAAUUCCACGUGUAGCGGUGAAAUGCGUAGAGAUGUGGAGGAACACCAGUGGCGAAGGCGGCUCUCUGGUCUGUAACUGACGCUGAGGCGCGAAAGCGUGGGGAGCGAACAGGAUUAGAUACCCUGGUAGUCCACGCCGUAAACGAUGAGUGCUAAGUGUUAGAGGGUUUCCGCCCUUUAGUGCUGCAGCAAACGCAUUAAGCACUCCGCCUGGGGAGUACGGUCGCAAGACUGAAACUCAAAGGAAUUGACGGGGGCCCGCACAAGCGGUGGAGCAUGUGAUUUAAUUCGAAGCAACGCGGAGGAACCUUACCAGUCUGACAUCCCUGAUGACCAUUCUCUAGAAGAAUAGAGCUUUCCCCUUCGGGACCAUAAGUUGACAGUUGUGGCAUGAUGUCGUCAGCUCGUGUCGUGGAUGUGGGUUAAGUCCCCGCAACGAGCGCAUCCUUUGAA
rnacentral:rRNA from 2 species